rnacentral:rRNA from 1 species
UACGUAGGUGGCAAGCGUUGUUCGGAAUUAUUGGGCGUAAAGAGCUUGUAGGCGGUUUGUCGCGUCUGCCGUGAAAAUCCGGGGCUCAACCCCGGACUUGCGGUGGGUACGGGCAGACUAGAGUGUGGUAGGGGAGACUGGAAUUCCUGGUGUAGCGGUGAAAUGCGCAGAUAUCAGGAGGAACACCGAUGGCGAAGGCAGGUCUCUGGGCCACUACUGACGCUGAGAAGCGAAAGCAUGGGGAGCGAACAGG